UAAGCAUAUCAAUAAGCGGAGGAAAAGAAACCAACAGGGAUUGCCCUAGUAACGGCGAGUGAAGCGGCAACAGCUCAAAUUUGAAAUCUGGCGCAAGCCCGAGUUGUAAUUUGUAGAGGAUGUUUCUGGCGACGUGCCUUCCGAGUUCCCUGGAACGGGACGCCAUAGAGGGUGAGAGCCCCGUACGGUUGGAUGCCUAGCCUCUGUGAAACUCCUUCGACGAGUCGAGUAGUUUGGGAAUGCUGCUCUAAAUGGGAGGUAUACGUCUUCUAAAGCUAAAUACCGGCCAGAGACCGAUAGCGCACAAGUAGAGUGAUCGAAAGAUGAAAAGCACUUUGAAAAGAGGGUUAAAAAGUACGUGAAAUUGUUGAAAGGGAAGCGUUCAUGACCAGACUUGAGCAGGUUGAUCAUCCGUGGUUCUCCGCGGUGCACUCUGCCUGCUCAGGCCAGCAUCAGUUCGCUCCGGGGGAUAAAGGCUCUGGGAAUGUGGCUCCUUCGGGAGUGUUAUAGCCCACUGCGUAAUACCCUGGGGUGGACUGAGGUUCGCGCUCUGCAAGGAUGCUGGCGUAAUGGUCAUCAACGACCCGUCUUGAAACACGGACCAAGGAGUCGUCUUCGUAUGCGAGUGUUCGGGUGUCAAACCCCUACGCGUAAUGAAAGUGAACGUAGGAGAGAGCUUCGGCGCAUCUCCGACCGAUCCUGAUGUUCUCGGAUGGAUUUGAGUAAGAGCAUACGGGGCCGGACCCGAAAGAAGGUGAACUAUGCCUGUAUAGGGUGAAGCCAGAGGAAACUCUGGUGGAGGCUCGCAGCGGUUCUGACGUGCAAAUCGAUCGUCAAAUAUGGGCAUGGGGGCGAAAGACUAAUCGAACCUUCUAGUAGCUGGUUUCCGCCGAAGUUUCCCUCAGGAUAGCAGUAUUGAACUCAGUUUUAUGAGGUAAAGCGAAUGAUUAGGGACCCGGGGGCGCUAUAUUGCCUUCAUCCAUUCUCAAACUUUAAAUAUGUAAGAAGCCCUUGUUGCUUAAUU
rnacentral:rRNA from 1 species